UUCUAUCUCUUCCCUUUCCUGUUCUUCAUGAGGUGUAGAAGUCGGCAUUUGAUGUCGGUUCAACCACUAAUAGCUCUGUCCAGCCUCUCCAACCAUGGAUGUCUGCAGACGAUGCAGGUUUUGGGUUUUGCUGAUGGUGAAAGGACAAAAUGGAAACCACUUGCAUGCAGGUGAUCCUCAUGGCUGACCCAAAAGUUACUGCAUGAGGACAGCUCAUGUCAAGGUAUCUCUCUGGCCCAUGAUGUAAAGUCUGGUAUCCUCAGGCUGUGCGGGCUCUCAAACCUUCCUGGUUUCUGAAAGGUUCAGUGGCAUGUUGGUGACGAGCGCUGGGAAUCCUAACCUGUCUGGGUGAACUGCUGCAGGCCAUCCAGAAGACGGGGUGACACCGAGUUAGAAGUGUUCACUCAGAUUGACCUAACUGUAAAGUGUGGUGCUAAUGAGUGGAAAAUCCUUGACCUAAGUUUUAAAACUUGCAUCAUUGAAUGUAAUAAAAUGACUUGUCAACCAUUA